UGGGGAAUAUUGCACAAUGGAGGGAACUCUGAUGCAGCGACGCCGCGUGAGUGAAGAAGGUCUUCGGAUCGUAAAACUCUGUCCUUGGUGAAGAUAAUGACGGUAACCAAGGAGGAAGCCCCGGCUAACUACGUGCCAGCAGCCGCGGUAAUACGUAGGGGGCUAGCGUUGUCCGGAUUUACUGGGCGUAAAGGGUGAGUAGGCGGUUAUGUAUGUCAGAUGUAAAAGGCGCGGGCUUAACUUGCGUUAGCAUUUGAAACUGCAUAACUUGAGUGCAGGAGAGGUAAGCGGAAUUCCUAGUGUAGCGGUGAAAUGCGUAGAUAUUAGGAGGAACACCGGUGGCGAAGGCGGCUUACUGGACUGUAACUGACGCUGAGUCACGAAAGCGUGGGUAGCAAACAGG
rnacentral:rRNA from 1 species